GACGAACCGAGCGAACGUUGUUCGGAAUCACUGGGCUUAAAGGGCGCGUAGGCGGGCUGUCAAGUCUGGGGUGAAAUCCCGCGGCUCAACCGUGGAACUGCCUUAGAUACUGACGGCCUCGAGGGAGAUAGGGGCGAGCGGAACUGUGAGUGGAGCGGUGAAAUGCGUUGAUAUUCACAGGAACUCCGGUGGCGAAGGCGGCUCGCUGGAUCUCUUCUGACGCUGGAGGCGCGAAAGCUAGGGGAGCAAACGGG
rnacentral:rRNA from 1 species